rnacentral:lncRNA from 1 species
UAAAGUCUCUUCACCAUUGUUUCAACAUGAAGGUUUGUAAUAAAAAUUUGUUUCUAUCAGCAUUGCUUUGCAUUGCUAUUGCAGGAGUUUUGGGUCAAGCUCCUAGUAAUCCUCCUACGUCUACGCCGGCGCCACCCACACCACCGGCUUCUACUCCUCCUCCGACGACUCAACCACCGCCUACACCAACCGCCACUCCGCCACCAGUUUCUACUCCUCUUCCCACUUCAUCACCGCCCCCAGUGACAGCUUCUCCACCCCCAGUUUCAACUCCUCCACCCAGUUCUCCUCCUCCCGCAACUCCACCACCUGCUUCUCCACCUCCUGCAACUCCACCUCCAGCUUCUCCACCUCCUGCAACUCCACCUCCAGCUUCUCCACCUCCCGCCACUCCUCCACCAGCAACCCCCCCACCUGCAACUCCUCCUGCUACCCCACCACCAGCUCCAUUGGCUUCUCCUCCAGCCACAGUCCCAGCUAUCUCUCCAGUACAAACACCAUUGACCUCGCCACCAGCUCCGCCGACCGAGGCCCCAGCACC